ACCAGCUGAUGAGUCCCAAACAGGACGAAAUGCUCCUUAUCCUGGAU
rnacentral:hammerhead_ribozyme from 1 species